CUAAGUUUGAUGGCGACCGGCGCACGGGUGAGUAACACGUAUCCAACCUGCCGAUGACUCGGGGAUAGCCUUUCGAAAGAAAGAAUUAAUACCCGAUGGCAUAGUUCUUCCGCAUGGUGGAACUAUUAAAGAAUUUCGGUCAUCGAUGGGGAUGCGUUCCAUUAGGUUGUUGGCGGGGUAACGGCCCACCAAGCCUUCGAUGGAUAGGGGUUCUGAGAGGAAGGUCCCCCACAUUGGAACUGAGACACGGUCCAAACUCCUACGGGAGGCAGCAUG
rnacentral:rRNA from 1 species